AAGUCGAACGAGAAAGUUCCUUCGGGAGCAAUUAAAGUGGCGCACGGGUGAGUAACGCGUAGACAAUCUGCCCUUCAGUCUGGGACAACUUUUCGAAAGGAGAGCUAAUACCGGAUAACAAUGCAUGACACAAGUUGUAUAUUUGAAAGCUUUAUGUGCUGAAGGAGGGGUCUGCGUCCCAUUAGCUAGUUGGUAAGGUAAAGGCUUACCAAGGCAACGAUGGGUAGCGGGUUUGAGAGGACGAUCCGCCACACUGGAACUGAGACACGGUCCAGACUCCUACGGGAGGCAGCAGUGGGGAAUAUUGCACAAUGGAGGAAACUCUGAUGCAGCAAUGUCGCGUGAGUGAAGAAGGCCCUUGGGUCGUAAAGCUCUUUUAUGGGGGAAGAUGAUGACGGUACCCCAAGAAUAAGCACCGGCUAACUAUGUGCCAGCAGCCGCGGUAAUACAUAGGGUGCGAGCGUUGUUCGGAAUUACUGGGCGUAAAGGGCGCGCAGGCGGAAUAGUAAGUCGGAGGUGAAAGCCCGGGGCUCAACCCCGGAGGGUCUUUCGAAACUACUAAUCUAGAGAGGGUCAGGGGCCGGCAGAAUUCCUGGUGUAGAGGUGAAAUUCGUAGAUAUCAGGAGGAAUACCGGUGGCGAAGGCGGCCGGCUGGGGCCACUCUGACGCUGAGGCGCGAAAGCGUGGGGAGCAAACAGGAUUAGAUACCCUGGUAGUCCACGCCGUAAACGAUGAGCACUGGACGUCCGGAGGGUUCGACCCUUCUGGGUGUCUCAGCUAACGCAUUAAGUGCUCCGCCUGGGGAGUACGGUCGCAGAUAAAACUCAAAGGAAUGCG
rnacentral:rRNA from 1 species